rnacentral:lncRNA from 1 species
UUUCCCCCGCUCCUCUCUCUCUUCUUUCUUCUCUCUUUCUUGUUCUCUCUCGUUUACAGAGGCGGCCGGCAAGGAGGAGGGUGCCGGCGGCGGGAGAAGCCGGCUCCGGCCAGUGGGAACCGGAUCCACGGUCGCGGGGUCCAGGCCGACUUGUCCCUUGGGACGGCGACGGCCGGGAAGCAGCCUGCAGGGCCGGCGACGGCGGCCAGAAGAGGGCGGCGGCGCUCCGGCGGGUUCAGGUUCAGGCCCAGGCGCGGCGGCCGGGAAGAACCAGGUAA